UGAUGGGGCAGGAAGUUGCUGGUAUGUCCAUAUGGCAGUACAAUAAAUGAAAUGUUAGAAAAUUUUACAUCCAGCUCCUUACUCUCUAGUGUUUGACAAUGGGAAUUUGCAGAUGUGGAAUCAGUCGUUUCAACCAUCAUGUAUGCUUACUUCCUGAAUGAAACUCAGACAGUAGCCAGCUCUGCACAGUCCCUGUCAUCAACAUGAAGUGAGCAGAUUUGUAUAUACAUAACAAGCCAAAAUGGUUUCCUAACUCAUGUUUUGUUGAGGAAGAAUAUCUUGCCUUUAUAGAUAAGACAUAUACUAGAUUCUCUACUUUACAACUGAACUUUUGAUCCAGACCGUAAAGGACCUUUCUUUUUGAAGAGGGAGGCCCUGUUUCGGAAAACAAGGAUCAACAGGUCCCCUGUUUCACCAAUGAACCAAAGAAAGAAAGAAAAGAAGAAAAAAAAGAAAAGAAAAUAAAAGAAAGAAAGAAAAAGAAAAAAUAAAAAAAUAAAAAAGAAGAGAGUUUCUCUCUCUUCUCUCCUUCCUCUCUCUUCCCUACUUUUUUCAAUUUCUCUCUCUAUUUUCUCUCCCUAAUUUCUCUCUCUAGAAUUGUUUCUCUAUCUAUGAAGCUUAUCUCUCUAGGAUUGAUCUAGUAAGGGACAUUCUUUCAAUGAGUUUGAUUGAUCUUGGUAAAGGGAUCACUAACCCAUAGUCAAGCAACAUGUUGGCAUCUAUCCUGACAAGAUUGGGUCUAUUAGAUUUGAUCAUUCAUAUUUAUUGAAUCAUCUAUGGAUUGGUUCAAUCAUGAUUUGAUUAGAUCACUUUAAUUGGAUUGAUCGAGAUGUCAGAUAGUACUGUCUGGUCAGCCAUAUUCCAUCUUGUUAAUUUUUCUCUCCACCAACAUUCUCUUUCUACUUGAUUUACGAAAUCAGUGAAGGGUAAUAGCCCUAUUCCUCUAAAUCCGAGUUGAUCAGAUAGAGAGACUUCGAAUCACCUCAUUGGUCGGGCAGCUUCACACCAUCUAAGCUUUUAUCAAUCAUUAUAGGAUCUAGUUUUUAUUAGCCUCUAUCAAAUCUUUGCAUCUUUAGCGAUCUUGAUUAAAUGAAGUCAUUUGAUUGAAUUGAUCUCGAAUUAUUGGACAGUGUACCAACCUCCACCUUAAUUUUUAUUCGACACUACUGAUUUGACCAUAUGCUUGAUCUCUGUUGAAUCAGUUAUAUCCUAGUAUGAUCUUGAUCGGAUGAAGUUAUGAUGAUCGAACCGGCUUGGACCAUUGAAUAUGACCACUGUCAAUCUUAUCAUUUUAUAAUUAAGCAUAUCCUUUUUGAUUAUUGGACUCGAUUCUAUAGAAGGGUAUAGUCAUCUCAAUAAAAAGAUGUCCAAUAGUGGGAUAUUGUGAUAUGAUCUAUGAAUUGAAGAUUUUGAAUUUUUUUUAAAAAUUAUUUGGAUUGAUUGGAGUACAUAUGAGAUAAGUAAUGAUCCAUCUUCUCUAGAUUUUUCAUUUAUAUAACAUUAUUUUGAACAUCGGUUGGUUGAUUUAUAUGUAAUCUAUGAAUCUUAUAAAAAUAUAUUUUGAACAAAAAUUGAUAUGAAAUUUGAAAAUAUUAUUUCUUGGACUAUUACUAUAAUUAUUUACUGAUCUGAUAUUAUAUAUGCAUAUUUUGAUUUGAUUAUGAAAUAUAUUACUGUGUGAAGAAUUUUUAUAUGAAUCAGAUUUGGACUUUCAAUCUGACUAUGUUCUGAACCCUGCUAAUUGAGGAUUAUGCAUUGACAUUCUGACUAUUACUAAACUUAUGAUUCUAUUUUUAGUUCGGCUAUAAGAUAUAAGUAAGGUAUUCCGGCCUAAUCAUAAGAUAUAAGCAUGGUCUUCCGGUCCGACCAUAAAGUAUAAGUAUAGUCAUAGUCAAAGGCUGAUGAAUUGAGUAGAAUUUAUUUUAAAUCUGAUUAUUGAAUAUGAUUAGCUUCAAAAUCAGAUAUAAUGUAUAUAAAUAUUUAAAAGAUAUUGUCAUUACUAAAUUCAUAUUUUGAAAAUGAGUUUGAUUAUGUUUCUACACUAAUUAAUGAUAUAUUAUAUUUUAACUAUCACAUAUUAUAUUAUCAUAUGAAUUAUCUAGUCAAGAUAUUUAUUGCUUAUUAGGUUGUUAAGCUCAUUAUUCUCUCUUUUCUUUUUAAAUUCAGAUGUUUAGUUAUGGAUACCGAUACUGCUUUGCGAGCGGCAUUAGAAGCAAGAUUUGACAAUAUUAAUAUAAUUUAGAUUUAGAUUUAUUACUAUGUUUUAUAGGACUAUUAUUUGAGGUCUAAUGGAUGUAAGAUUUUUGAAUUUCAUUUAUCAGUUGAAUUUGCUACUUAAUUAAAUUUCAACUUUUAGUUAUUUAAAUUAUUUCCACUAUGAUGCAUUUGAUAUCGUGUUCAGAUGCCUUGCAUGCUUGUGAGGAGGGUUCUUCAUAACUAUGCGGUAGUUGCCAUGAUCCUUUGUUCACAAUCUCAGGUCGGCAUGACAUCUUUGAUACUAACGGCACAUAUUUGCCCCUUGAAGCGCUAGAUCAACUGGGAUGGUUAUGUCUCUCGUGACAUCAUGUAAAUUUUGGUAUAUUAGAAUUAAGUCAAAAGGGUUGGUUUAGUCAAGGAUAGUUCUCCCAAAUAUAACAAUAAAAUUCAUCUUUCUUAACUCUAGUAGAUGCGAAUAAAAGAAGAAAGGAAGACAAAAUCCAAACAUUAAUUAUGCAGGUUGUCUCUAUGGACUGGAUGCUUAUGCGUAUGAAAUCAUAUAAAUCCCAACAUACAUGACACAUAAUGCAUUAGAAAUAAUUUAAGAUUGCUUGCAUUCAUCAUCCAAAAUAAAAUCAUGUUUUCUAUGUUUCAUGGAGUUGAAAGAUGAGCUAAGAGCAAUUGAGAUCGACAACAAGUUGACAUCAAGGAGAAGCACCAAGUGAGUCUUGGAAGAGUUUGGUGGGAUACUAAGGAAACCAUGGCAGAAUAAUGUGAUAAUAUAAUAUAUGGAAGCCACUUUCUAGGCACAGAUGCUGUUCUACUAAUGUGGAGGAUACAUGUUCUCUUUCGUAGCUUACACAAACUGACAAAAGUUUAUUGAUUGGGACAUUUUUACUCAAGUGAUUGAAAAAUACAAGCAUGAAUACAUUCAUAUAACUGCGAAUUUGCAUUUAAGGUAAGAACCUUGUUAAUGUCUAAAGUUCCAAUGCACUUGAAUCUGUCUUAUCAGAGAAAGCAAGAAAACUUUUCUCAUCUUCCUCCUCCAAAGGAAUUCUUCAUAAUUGAGAUCAGCCUUUAAGGGAGUUUCAAAAUCUGCAGCCGUGCUUGUCUUGAUCCAUCACCAUUGU
rnacentral:lncRNA from 1 species